rnacentral:snoRNA from 1 species
CCUGCCCCUAAGGCGUUGCAAGUGUGGCUGCUGUGUCACAUGUGUGUCAGUAGGCAAAGGAAAGAGCUAGUCUUACGCUCAGUGUUCUGAUCUCGUGAACAUCACCCUGAAUGAUUAGUCAUCAAACAUU